CACCAGGCAUGUACAUGGUACAUAUACAUACAGGCAAGCAGAACACCCACACACAUUAAAUAACUAAGUAUAAUAAUAACAACAACAAAGAAAAAUGAAUUAGGAAAGGACACAUCAGGCGAGUCUCACGGCACAUGGUUGUGUAAGCGGGGCUUAUGCUGGGUUACCCUCCGGGGCCCAAACUAUGUCUGGAAAGCCUAAAAACAAAGGGAUCCAACUAUGGGGGGGGGUGACCUUAGGAGUGUGGACUUGUAUAGAUAAUAGUCAGGAAUAUGAUGAUGAUGAUUUUACUUCACCAAAAUGAAACUGAAUUUACUCUUUAGAGGGACUCCUGUCACUAUUGUUUUCUUAACUAUGGCUAGUGCUGCCUGCCUUGGCCACGGUUUAUUGUUCAAAAUGUAAAAUGUACAGACAGGAGAGUUCUACUGUACCUCCCCCAAUGCCCUGAAGAUGGUACUGAUGGAGGGAGUGUGUGGAGCGCAGAGAGCAUCAUCUUAGAGACAUGCUUACAGAAGAGGGUGGGAGGGCAUUACUAAGAGCAGUUAAGGAUGUACGAGGGCCUCAGUGGGUAAAAGCAUCUGCUUAUAGACCUGACCUGCUCGAGAGAUCCCUGGGACCUAUAUGUGCUGGAAGGAGAGGCCCAAUUCCCCAAAAUUAUCUUCCGACCUCCACAUGUGCGUGUACAUGCACACACACACACACACACACACACACACACACACACACACAGGCACACACACACACACACACAGGUGCGCACGCACAAAUGCAGUAAGAGGAGCAGUACAACAUUUAACUUCUCAGACACCACACUCCUUUGUCAACUGUAAAGUCACAGGCGUGGUACUAGGAGCAGGACAUCUGACCUGAAUCGAUGAGUGCCCAAAGUUGCUGGCAAAUCCUCUCACACGCCCUCACGUGAUUUCUUCGUGUGCUGACAGAGUGGAGCAUGAAAGUGAGCAGCGUCACAACUCCAUAGGGGAUAUUCUUCUGAAUAUACAAUCAGGGGUCCCUGGAGUCUGCUUCAACCCCCGCAGCAUAAGAGUUUGAGUUUGGCAGCCUGCAAUCAGGAUGGGUAGAAAUGUUGCAUUUGGACCCUACUCUCUCCUAGUCCAGCAAUGCCUUUCCUCCUUGUGCUGAGACAAUGGAGCAGCAGUUCCACUUCAGAAGAACGGGGCCAGUGAGAGAGGAAGCAAGGACUCACAGCUACGGAGUUACUGAGGCCUCAGCUUUGGAGUGUAGAUGCUUCCGGAUCAGCUGUGCAGAGACGCGUACAGGAUGACGUCACAGACAUGGAAAGAAUCCCCUGGUGCUGGUGUGGGAGCUGCUGGGAAAGGGUGAUGCUGGAGAGCCAAUACUGUACGUAGAAAGUGAUGGACCAUCUCAGAGGAACUGGGCUCCGAGCAGAGAGGAUGAGGUGCACCAAGCGGAGCCAUCGAUCAGUUCAGGAGACACCUCUGGUCCAGCCAUAUGGGACCAGGUCACAGGAGGCUGUAAUAAGGACUGAUUUGACCUCCAGGUGGGAGAAGUAGACACUAACUGUCCUGAGCUCACUCCACAGCCUUGAACAGGCACAUGCCCUUACAUCUAGCACAAGUGUGGACCAAUGUGUCUCCCUAUUAGGAAUUCCUUAAGCUAACCUUGCACUCCUUGCUGGUGCCACCAUUUCUCAUCCGCUUCUUUCUUUGACUCCACGGUUCCAUGCUUUGAUUUCACUCCACACUGCCGUGGGUAGAAGAGUUACAGUGUCAGGGCAAGGAUCCCAGAGGACAGGCCGUCACUCUGGACGGGCGUCUGUUCAACAGAAGCGCCUGUUCCCUGACUUACUGUGCCCGGGACAGGCGUUGACCACCUAAAGUCUGCGCCAUAUUGGAGACACUGUGAAGAGACACAUCCAUUUUUAUAAGACAGAAGUCUCUGCUUCCAUACUUAGGGGCAGCCCCAAGAAAUAACUUUUUAAAGACAGGAUCUCACGUAUCCAAGACUGACCUUGAUCUAUCUCCUGAUUCUCUAGUCUCCACCUCUGGAGUCUGUUAUAUAAGAGUGCACCUCCACAUCUGGUUUAACAUGGCGCUGGGGACUGAACUCGGGAAUUCCUGCAUGUUGAGUAAGUACUCCAUCAAUUUAGCUGCACCCUCAGCUACUCCCUCAGCUACACCUUCAGCUACUCCCUCAGCUACUGCCUCAGCUACGCCCUCAGCUACUCCCUCAGCUACACCCUCUGAUACUCCCUCAGCUACACCCUCAGCUACUCCUUCAGCUACUCCCCCAGCUACUCCCUCAGCUACUCCCUCAGCUAUGCCCUCAGCUACACCCUCUGCUACAUGCUCAGCUAUUCCCUCAACUACACCCUCAACUACUCCCUCAACUACACUCUCAGCUACUCCCUCAGCUACUUCCUCAGCUACUCCCUCAGCUACACCUUCAGCUAUGCCCUCAGCUACAUCCUCAACUUUCAGCUACACCCCCAUCCACACCCUCAGUCUUUCUUAGCUUCAGUUUCCUAAUUCUCUGGCAUUGGUCUCAAAACCCUUCUUUGGGCCUCCAUCUCAGAGUCGGUAGGUUUGUGUAUUUGCUCUCGGUUCCUUUGCCAUGCCAUGGGCAUGAACUAAAUUGAGAUCUCUUAGCAGGGAAGCAGGAAUAAACAAGGGAUCUGUUUUACCCACUUCAUAAAAGCUGUCAUGAGGAUUAGGCAAGGUGUCACCCUUGGAGCGCUGCCUGGCACUUACUAAGAACUUAGUAAGUGUUAGAUACUAUGUUUUAUUUUUAUCUUAAUCAUUUUUAUUCUGUCUCAUCACCCCUUGCUGUGGCAGCCUGGCCACUGUGUAACCCUUUGUGUUCUCUCUGGGACAUGUGAGCCACACUCCAUACAAUGCAGAAAAGGGGAUCUUAUUCUUCCUGAGAAUCUGCAAAUGGACAAGGGCCCCAUGGCUGAAAACCUAAGGAUUUGCAAUACCUUUAAUGAAAUAGUCUGGACAGAUGGUCGGCGGUGCACUGGAGGGACGGUGGACAGUCCCCAGGUCAUAUUCUACAGACACUGGAGUAUAGAGCACCUACUUGGGUCUCCACUUAGCAGUUGGGAAGAGAAAAGGAGGCAGGAAGUAAAGGAAAUUCUGCCAAAAGAAUGCCACCAGCUACGGGACAAACAUUUACAACCCUGCCCUGGAGGGGAAAUUUCAGAUCCACAACCUGACAGUGUGUCACCGUUCGUUCCUCAGUCCUGGCCAAUAGACUCACCAUUCAGAGCCACCAGGAACCCCUCACACCCUGACCUUUGCUCCCACGAAAUCCACUUUAUCAAGACGCCAGCCAGCUUUGUUUCCGAAUGUAUUUCUUGAGUGCAUUCUUUCCGGACCUCAGGCGUGUGUACUGCUUCAGACCAGAUCUCUAUUUCACCGCCUGCUUCCCUGGCUUCCUCUUACCUUCCUUCCGCUGCCAUCAAGGAAAUCUGGAAACUCUAGGAAAGAGAGGGGCAGAGGCCCUGAGUCACAGUAAGUCCCGCUGGGUCGGAAGACUCCCUGGCCGACAAGAGUCUUGAAGGCAGGCAGGCAGGAAAUGCCGUCCAGAGUUUGGUAUGAAGAGAGGGGCUGCUUCCAGUGACAGACCCAGUUGAUCAGUAUGACCAGCUAUGGAGGCAUCUCCGGUCAUUCCGGUUACCUUGGGCAAUGAAGUUGUUUGAGGGAAACAGCGUGUGAAAGACUCGGCGUUGCAAUAGGACCAUUGAUAGGCAGCACAAGAAACUUGGUGUGUGCUUGGGAAGACAGGCCUGGGUCUAGUGUGGACAGUGUUACACUGGGCAGGUGCAGAGGAAUAUGUGACUGAAGAUUGGAGCCGGUCUGGGGUUCAGAGACUCUGUCCCUGUGGAAACGGAAGACUGUUCAGGUCUAGAAUUCCUACAAUAGGGGAGGGAAAGAAUCAUGCCUCAGAGAGAGGACCAGGUGAUUCAAGUCUCUCACUCACCCAAUUUCAAAGUAUACUGGACACUGGAAAUGGGCACAAUUUUUCCAACGAGACGCCUUAAGCUAAGACCACCAGCUUCUUUGAGGCCACUCACUAGCACUGGCGCAAUUAUACCCAGACGCUCUCACUGAUGUAAUCCUAACAGUCGCAGAGUCUUGUAAGAUAACGUUUUUGAAGAAAUAUCAAAUUUUAUUCUUUAAUAUUUAUCCAUUUCUCCAUUGAACAAAAGUUAUUGGCUCCUACUGCACCAGACACUGUGCUGGACAUGCAGUGGUAUUUGAUAACGGUCCUCAGUAUCGACCUUGGGGCAGAUCUGAAGGUCUAAGUGAAUGCGCCAAGUCAGUCUUGUAACUGGCUUCCCAGAGAACAUGUGGGCUCUGACUUCAAUAGUUGGGGCUUUGGCCGUUCCCAGCCAGCGCACCGUGAAAGUGCUACCAGGUUUCUGGGAGCCAUUCAGCCUCUUGAGGCUGAAACUAGAUGGGUUUUGAAGCCACAUCUAGCACAGAUACUUAAAUCUGCAUUCACACAGGGCAAGAAAAUAUCCCCAAAUCCCCUGGCCAACACCCAGAACCCACUUAAACUGGUCAUAGUGGAAUCCUAAGGAAAGAACAUCACGUGCCAAGACAGCUGAGGAAGAGGAGUGAGAAACACAGACCAAUGAGCCCACUGUGAAUGUGUGCACAGACUCACGGAGACCACUGAAGCCUCGCCAUGACGUCACUUCCCCCUCUGUGCGGUGCUGAAGGACUAGCCACAACAGUCCCGAUUUUCUCUCUGAAUUUGAGUUCGCUGGAAGCCAAGUCACACGUCUGCACAGGACCCAGAGGUGCUUCUGUGUUUCCUGUCUCCCCAUCACUCUCUCCUUCCAUGAUUUGAGAGUUAAGUGUCUCUGGACAUCUAGGGGUGGUUCUAAAAGGAACAGAAUGGGGCUAUGAACCAAACUUUCUGGACCGAUAAGAAGGAAGCAGAGGUUUUAGGGGUAGCGUCGCUCUGCUGAGACCCACGCCCACGUUUUGUCUAACGCUUACUUGGGACAUCUCUCACAGAUAUGGCUGCUUUUGCACAGCUGAGACUAAGAUAAUAAACAAUGGGGGUAGGGGGAAGGAAAGAUCCAUUUGACUCAUGGUUUAGCAGGACAAUGUGGUUGUUCGGUUCUAUAUGUUUGACACAAGCACUGUGGUGACAGGAACAUACAGUAAAUGACAGCUGUCCACAUCUCACAGAGUAACAAGAAGUGGCCCCGCAGACCCUGGAAGGAUGAAAAUGGCAGAAAUUUCACUUAGGUCUCUCUCUUUGGGAUUUUCACUGCCAAAGGAGACCAUUUCAGACCAGUCCCCUCCUCUCCAGGGUGCCUACUCUGAGGAGCUGGAAAAUGUCUCCAAUGUCACUGGAAGUGUCCAGGAGCUCCCUGAGAACUCUGCUGAACCCCACACCCCAAAAUUGUCUGAUAAAUCUCAUCGCAUUAAAAUCAACAAUCAAACAGGGGCUGUCACUAGUUCAGAUCUUGGUGUUUGGCUGAGUUUCACACCUGUGCUCUCCACAGGCCUACCGCCUCUGGAGAGCAGGCUUCUUCACUGCUUCUGGCUGCCUGGCUCCUGGGGUUGCCUCUUCUGACAAUCCACAGAUUCCUGGAUCCUUUGAUGGUCCAAGAAGGAGCAAAAGCUGGGAGGAAGACAGGCAUGCAGUCUCAGAGCAGCAGAGACAUGUCCGGUUCGGCACGAGGACCUCAUGUUGGUCGGAGCGAGUCACUGGGGAGCAGGAGUUAGCCAGUGGCCUCGAGUUCCACCCUCCAACCUCUGAUUUUAAGAUUCUGUGUCAUAUUCAAAGUGAGAACUUUGAUGCAUUUGGGUCAGCUGCAGGUCACUGAUUAACUACAUACCACUGUAGGUGGCUGAUUAAUUGCCUCUAAUUGGUAAUAUUGGAACUUUGGAGUAAUCAGAUUUCCAUCAAUGCCUUAUUUUGGUAUCACUUGGAUGGCCUUGGAAACUCUGGUUACAAAGCACACACGGUAUCUGCCCUACAGAAUUCUGUUACUCCGCGGCUGACUUUUCAUAUCCAGUCUUCAUUCGUCAGGUUGGUCAAGUAGCGCCACUUCCUCAAGUGUCAGCGCUGGAUCCCAAAGCAUCUAUCAGAGAUAAGAAGUUGUCAUGGCGAACCACAACAAACCAAAGGUGACAGAUCAUGGGACUUGGUUACUGUACGAACCGGGGGACACACAGCCUUCAGUCUUUGCUUUCUCUGCACACAGAUUUUCAACACCGCGUCCUGGGCUGUCUCAAAAGCACUUUGCUUUUCGCUUUGCAUCUCCUCAAGCAAAUGGCAUUCAACCACACCAUGUGACUCCUACUUAAAACAGAACAAUAUUUGGCUGGAUUUAUUUGUUAAUACCUGGUAUUUGUUGAAGCAUGCUCACGAAAGUUCUGGAGUUCUUUGUUUUAUGCCUCCUCAGAAAAUAAGGUAUCUUGUAGUUGGUUUUAUUUCUCCCUCUUUGUUCUUUGGUGCUUACCACCCAGCUUUCAAAAAUCACACAGAUUAUUAUUCUUGCUUAUGAAUGCCCGGCCUUAGCUUGGCUUGUUUCUAGUGAGUUUUCCUUAACUUAAAUUAGCCCAUCUUCCUUUUGCUUCUGGGCUUUUACGUUUCUCUAUUCUGUAUAUGGUUCUUUACUUCUUACUCUGUGGCUGGUUGCGUAGCUGGGUAGCUGACCCCUAAUGUCCUCCUCUCCUCUUUGCCCUCCUCCUCUUCUCUUUUUCUCCUUCUAUUUGUUCUUUCUGCCUGCCAGCCCCACCUAUCCUUUCUCCUACCUUGCUAUUGACUGUUUGCAUGAUGCUGAGUCCUCAGAUGCUGGGAAAUUUAGUGUUAGGAUAAUACUUCUGUUGAUUGUCAAGGUAACUUCACAUAAGUUAUGCUUAUUAUUGGUGUUACCAUGCAGUCCAAAAGGAAGAAUGAUAAAUAUGGAUUUAAAAUAUACAAAAGAAGGUGGUGGGGGCACCUGAAGGGCUCUAUAUCUCUGGCUUGAAUGUACUGUUAAGGUAUUUUCAAUUUCCAAGUAUUUAAAAACCAGCAAUGAUUUGACUUUAGGAAAACUGUUAUGCUAUUAGAAAAUAUUCUCCACGCCUACAAAUAUUCUAUAAAAGUUGGCUUUAGUAACUGUUAAUUCCCAUCUAACGAAUCUGAAUUCACUUAGCUGACUGCUAUAAUGGGGCUGGGUAGGGCAAAUAUAAUGAGAGUUGCUUUAAGGAGAGGUCUCCGUGUUCGAAAAGAGAAGAGACCUGAAGGAUUUAAGUUGAAGAUCAAACCAGGAGAUCUGGGGUUAGAUGAAGUCUGUGACCUGGACUGGUGGAAAAAUGGAGAGACCUUUGGUCUCUCUUUAAGCUCAGUCAUAGCAAGGAACUCACAAUGUGACCAGUGUGCCUGCCAGAAGGGGGCAGAGCUGCCAUCGCUCCCAUGAGUCUGCACUGGCUCAAGGACUCACAUUUGCCCCCAAAGAACCUUGAAAAGGGGGCACUGCACUUUUGAGGCAGAACAUGCACUCGGGGAACCUUUCAGCUGCCCCAAGGUGGCCUUGUGGGGAGAACGUGGGGAGAGAAAAUGGAAAGCUACAAGGCUCUAUCCUAGGUGCCUUGAUGGUAUACCUGCCACCAUCGGACCAAGGACAUCUUCGAAAAGUCCCCUCAAAACUGAGUCAGCCCAAGAAUUAAGAGCAGGAGUAACGGUCAUCAUCUAAAGCGCUUCCUGGGUGUGGCCUGUCACACUGCAAUGGUAGCAACAAUGAGGGACUCUUACAGGCAAGAUUGGACGUCAGUACGCAAGAAUCAGGGCUGCUAUUUCAGAGGUCAACACUCAGCUCUCAGGUCACGGGCCUACGAGUUUCCAAAGCGUUCACUAAGGAGGCAGAGGUUUGGACCGACGACCUGAGAGAACCUGACAAGGUGUGAGGAACUCCUGUGGUUUGCGGUGUGGGGAUCAAGCAGGAUCUCUUCUUCAGCCACGAGCCCUGACUGCAGGUCCUCUGAAGCGCCCCUUCAGAAGUGAGCAGGCAAACCUCUUCCACCCCUGUAACCUUCUUAGCCAUCACGGACGGGCUGCCAGAUUCCACAAAUAAAAACGUGCAAUUAAAUCUGAACUUGAGGUAAACUCUGACGACUUUUAGAAUAAGUACGCCUUGUACAAUAGUUGAGAAAUGUUUAUAGUAAAAUCGUAUUAUUUAUCUUAGGUUGACGUUUCACUGACCAGCCUGAGCACUGAUGUCUGACCUUACGCUGUGCUGAGAGGGGGCCCUGGGAGCUAGACCGCUGUGCUUUGAAUCCGUGUCUCAACCUCACACGCUUUGCGAUUGCAUUUUUGCAAAACUUCAAAAAAGAAAGAAGGAAAUAAUAAAACAUAUGAUGGUUGCAGCAAAAAAACAA